CUCGUUCCAUGUAUUCAUAAACUAGUAGCCUGUGAUCAUCCUCACAGCAGUAUCCGAUCAAGUUCACAAGAUGUGGAUGCUUCAACUGACCAACCACUCUCUAUGGCCUUGUCCACCGUCUUGUUUCAAAGCCUUGACAGCAACAGGCUGAGCUUUCAAACCAGUCUUGAGGCUAUCAUCAACAAACCCUUUGUAGACUUCUCCGAAUCCUCCUUCACCGAGGUAGUUAUGCUUUGAGAAGCCUUGUGUGAUCGUUUUGAGCUCUUCUAAGGUGAAGAUGUGAAUGUCUGUGAGGAAAGAGUUUGAGAAGUCGUUGAGUGAGAUGGUUGAGUUGCUGAAAUCAGACAGGUAUACUCUGCUUGGGACAGAGGUUUGUCUGGUGAGCAGAAGAAGUUUUUCCUUAGAUGGGUUUGUUGUAGUCUUCUUGAGAUUUGUAUCGUUCAUGCAGCUUAUAGGAAGACAUAUGUUCUUCCAAGAGAAUCUCAUUGCUUUCAUCUGAAAGAAUUUUUAUCCUUUUUUGUGUUUCUUUCAGAAGAUUUUGUCUCUCUAAAUUGUUAAUGGUUUUCUUUCUUUUUAUGAAUAUAUAUAUAGGAGAUGGUGAAACUUCUUUGAAAAUAGUGGUGAGAUAUUGGUGAAGACUAACAAAAAAGUAAGUCUAUAGUCUUAAAAAGACAUUCAAGAAGGUAUCAACCACUUAGUAUAAUCUAUUGUAAAUAAAAUAUGCAAAUGAGUAAGAUUUUUCUUAGAUCCCUCUAUUUUUUAUUUCUUUAUAUUCUCAGUUUCAAACUUUAAUUUGUUAAAGCUCUAUUUAUGAAGUAUAAUUUCCUAAGCUACCAAAAGAAAUUUUAUGUUUCUAUUGUUAUUUUUUCAUUCCAAUUCAAUGUUUUGGUUGGUUAUAUAAUGCAGUUUGGCAUUAAUUUAUGGUAACAGAUUAGCUUAGAUGUGCAAGAGACAUUUUCAGAGACGGUUUUGGAGCUAUUAGAAAAUUUCUUUGACUAUCUCAAGCCAUCUCAUUCUUUUUAAUGUUUAUUAGCUACUAUCAUACACUUGUAAGUUGUUAAUAAAAUGGUUAUAUAUGUAUCAUAUAUUCACUUUCAUCUAGAAGAAAUGUUGCUUCUGCUAGAUAAACUUUGUUAGUUCUCUCAAAAAUAAUAGUAAGUUGGACUGUUUUGUGUCU